GACGGAGGAUGCAAGUGUUAUCCGGAAUCACUGGGCGUAAAGCGUCUGUAGGUGGUUUAAUAAGUCAACUGUUAAAUCUUGAGGCUCAACUUCAAAAAUCGCAGUCGAAACUAUUAGACUAGAGUAUAGUAGGGGUAAAGGGAAUUUCCAGUGGAGCGGUGAAAUGCGUAGAGAUCGGAAAGAACACCAACGGCGAAAGCACUCUGCUGGGCCGACACUGACACUGAGAGACGAAAGCUAGGGGAGCGAAUGGG
rnacentral:rRNA from 1 species